rnacentral:lncRNA from 1 species
GGCGAAGAUGGCGACGAUGAGGGCUAAACGGGGGAACAGAGCGGGGGGACAAUCGGCACAGUCGGUAAAUGGUGGGGCAACAGAACAGGAGCAUGGGAGGGAAAGCAAUCAUAAUGAGGAUGGGACGCGGGAAGUGACCAACGCAUCUGGUCGCAAUGGUCAAGGAGGAGGUGGAAAUGGUCAGGGGGGACGCAAAAAUGGUUAGGGGGGAGGUGGAAACGGUCAAGGCGGGGGCGAGAAUGAGCAAGUUGGAGGAAGACACGAGCAAGGUGCAGGGAGAAAUAUGAACAACCAGGGG